UGGGGAAUUUUUCGCAAUGGGGGCAACCCUGACGAAGCAAUGCCGCGUGGAUGAUGAAGUAUCUCGGUACGUAAAAUCCUUUCGACGGGGACGAAACCGCAAGGUUGACGGUACCCGUAGAAGAAGCCCCGGCUAACUCCGUGCCAGCAGCCGCGGUAAUACGGGGGGGGCAAGCGUUGUUCGGAAUUACUGGGCGUAAAGGGUGCGUAGGCGGCUCUCUAAGUCGGAUGUGAAAACUCUGGGCUCAACCCAGAGCCUGCAUCCGAAACUGGAGAGCUAGGGGUUCUGGAGGGGAAAGCGGAAUUCCUGGUGUAGCGGUGAAAUGCGUAGAUAUCAGGAGGAACACCGGUGGCGAAGGCGGCUUUCUGGACAGAUACCGACGCUGAGGCACGAAAGCUAGGGGAGCAAACAGGAUUAGAUACCCUGGUAGUCCUAGCCCUAAACUAUGGAUACUUGCUGUGGGGGGGAUUGAAGCCCCUUGUGGCGAAGCUAACGCAUUAAGUAUCCCGCCUGGGGAGUACGGUCGCAAGG
rnacentral:rRNA from 1 species